rnacentral:rRNA from 1 species
CUUCAACGGAGAGUUUGAUCCUGGCUCAGGAUGAACGCUGGCGGCGUGCUUAACACAUGCAAGUCGAAC